UCCAGAACAAAAUAUGAGCCACUCGGAGGAUGGCCUUGUCUCCUUCCUGCGUCACUUUGAGGCACACACCCACUGAAAGAUGCCAAAGCACCCGGCUUACAUGGGAGGGUAGGAGGUGGUGUUCUUCACGAAGGGCCAUGGGUCUGCAGGCUGUGGCGGAGCAAACCUCAGGGAUCCCAGGGGGGGUUUGGCAAAAGGGACCCCCAGGAAAACAGCCAUGGGCUGUGCAAAUGCUUCCAGGCUGACGUGCUUGCCCAGGAUCUUGCCCUGUGCGGUGUCCACCACAGGCGGCGAGGAUGGGUGCCCUGCGGGACAGCGAGAGGAAGUGAGACACGUCAGCGGUGAAAGGUUUGACCCGGAUUCUGGGGGUGUUGCCACUCUCAUCAUGUGACCUUGAAAGAGUCACCUCAACUCUCUAGGCCUCAGUUUCUUCUUAUGUAAAAGGGAGGGGAGGUUAACUGUCCUUCCUAACUCCCAGGGCUGUCUUAAGGAGCAAAUUAGAAAUGGAGGUAAAACAGCAUCAAGUGAGAAGGAAAUGCAAGAAGGAGAGCUGUUGGGAGUGAAGCAGACAUUGGGGUUGCACUCUCAGGAGCCCUGAAGACAGUUAUCCACGAGGAUCCUGGCGCUGAGCUGCGUGCUGGAUGGGAGGAUGGACAAGAGGCGGCCCCUCUUCUCAGAAGCUCUGAGCCUUGUGGGGAGAAUGAGCCACAUACACGCUCGACCCUACUGCUGGGGAGAAAGCGGUCAGUGUCCUGAGAGAGGGACCAGUAAGGUCUUGCAGGAGUUAGCAAAGGAAGCAAGGGCUUAUGAUUGGUGGCAUCCUGGAGGAGAGGACCUUAGAAUCGAGACUUGCAGUAGAGGAGGACUGAGCAGGGCAAGAUAAAUGAGGGGGAAUAAAGGUGUAGAGCAGAGAAGAGAAUGUGCCGAGGUGAGGCUCUGAGACAACAAAAGGCAAGGCCUGCCGGAGGAAGAGUGACGGCCCAUGUGAGUCAGAGGGAGUCUAUGAGGAGUGGAAAAUAACCUGGGGUGAGAAUGGUUCAUGUCUGGGAGGGCCUUGAAUGCCAGGCUAAGGAUUUGGGCUUUAUUGUGGGUAAAUGAGCAGCAAUGAACUGUUAGAGUAUGGGAGAGUGACACCAUCAGCUUGAGGAGGAUUCUUCUGGCGGCUCUGAGCAGGGUCGUCCAGAGGGGCUGAGACUGGGGUCAGAUCCCCAUCUGUUCCGUUCUUGUGGAGCAGACAGCUCUUCCUCACUGAGCUGAAGUUCCUCCCCUGAAGCUUCCACAUCAGCCCUGCUUCUACCUGCUGUGGCCCGUCCUGAGCUCCCAUGUGGCAGCGGCCUUGCAGACCCCUGAGCCUGCCCAUCCCUCAGGCCUUCUCUUGUCCGUCCUCAGAUGGUUCAAGCAUUCCUUGUAGGAAAUGAUGUCUAGCCUCUCAUCCUCCCAACUGCUCUCCUUUAGAUGUAGAUGAAAGGGCUGCAUCUCCCUCAAAGUGUUUGACCAGAGCAGAAAGUAUAACCCAGAUUUGUUCUGAAAGAAGAAUAUCUAAUGCUAACCUUCAGGAGAGAUGAAGUGGACAGGAGCCAGAUGCCAAGGGUGACAAAGUGGGCGAUGGGGUGAGAGGCAUCAGCCAUAGUGGUAAGAGCAGCAGUUACCAUGUGUGUUAUAGGUAAUGUUAAUAUACUGAGCACUUCCUCUGUGCUGAUGUGCAUUCCAGAUCAGCUAAAUUAAUCUUCACAAAAGCCUUUCCAGGUAGGUGUUCUUAUGCCCUCUUUACAGAUGAGGAAGCUGACAAAAUGGAGGCACCCGGUAUGCACUUUCUGAAGAUGGAAAUGGGAUGGCCUUGCCAAGUGGUGACUAUUGGUAAAGGAAUGAUCUCCCCUAAUUUCAUUCUUCCUCUGCCCUGACACUCAGUUCCAGGACUCCCAUGAUGUCACACCACCAAAGAAAAUAUAAAACGUGAAUGGAGCCUGGGUUGUCAAUACAGUAAUGGCCAGAGUACUGGCUGUGGAUUCAGGAGUCGCAGAUAGAUUCUUGACCAUGAUAUUCCUUUCUUCUAAAGAGUGGUCCUGAACUAACAUCUGUUGCCAAUCUUUUCCUUUCUUUCUUUUUCUCCCCAAAGGUCCCCAGUACAUACUUGUAUGUUCUAGUUGUAGGUCCUUCUGGCUGUGCUAUGUGGGACACCGCCUCAGCAUGGCUUGAUGAGCCGUGCUAGGUUGGUGUCCAGGUUACAAAGUGGUGAAACCCUGGUCCGGCAAAGCUGAGUGUGCAAACUUAACCACUUGGCCAUGGGUUCAGCCCCAGAUCAUGACUUUCCAGCUGUUCUUGGACAACAACGUUUCCCUUCUGAGUGUCAGUAUGUCAAUCUAUUCAAUGGGAUAGACGCAUCCUAAGGUCCCUUGCUGCUGUCUUGUAUUAAUCACAGCUUUUAUUUUCUCCAUUGCGAUGCUUUGACAUCGGGGGCCGUGCUGACCCUGGAGGGACCGCCCCUCCCAGACUCAGCGAUUCCUAGUGGCAGGAAUCAGCUUGCCUUUCCAGUGAGCCAGAGCCCACACCCCGACCACGUUCUUUAUCAGGUUCCUACCUUAGGCACACCAGGGCCAGGCACCUGACAACUGCGGAAAACCCCCAGGCCCUAGAGCCUGUUGAAAUUGUUGAGUUUGCCAACCCUAAUCCUGCUUAUCCUGCCUCACCCCUUUCUUCCCACAGCACCCAGGAAGAAGUCUCUUGUCCUCAAUUCCUCCUACUCCCUCUGCCUCCCACCCACCCGCUCCUUCACAUUGUGGCCACCAUGGUGGUGACGUGCCCCCUCCCCCUGGGAACUAAGGACUCACCCCAAACCGUGGAAGUGGCCAAGGAGACCAGGACCAGAGCGAAGAGCCACAUCAUGAGGACAGCAGCUCCUGGGUCAGCAGCUCUCGGCUCUGCUGGGAGGGGCUGUGCAGUCAGCCCCAGAGCCCCUGCUCCUGCCCUGGCCCUCAGCUUCCAGCCUCCCAACCAAUGGCCUAAUCAGGUGGAAAAACUCUCUCCCUUCCAAAGAUUAAUCUGGGCUUUUUCUGGCCUCUAAGCCAUGCCUCUCAGACUUUACCCUCUCUUAUCUGAGCAGCAUGGACUAAACUCUCCAAUGAAGAUAGCCACAGACUGGAGAAACAACUUGUUACAUGAGGGUUUCUCCCUUCCUGGACUCUAACUUCAGUGCACUGUGAGCUUCCCAAAGGCAGGCACAAGCAGACAGAAGCCUUUAGACAAGGGGACACUUGGGUCUGGGGUCCUCAGAACAAGCCUGAAAACUUUUAGACCAGAUCCCAGCCCCACCGCUAUUCAGCUGGGGAACUGAGGACAAAUCUCUUCUUUUCCCUGGGCUUCUAUUUCAUAGGGCUCUAUGCUGUCAGGUUUGGAAGCAUCUUAAAUUGCAUCCAGGCUCCAUUCUGAUGCCUAAAUUAACUUUACAAUAUUCCUGCCAUGUCACUGAGCUUCCUGUUGCACACCUCGCAGAUCAAGGAACUCACUACCUCUAGACGCAAGGAUCUUUGGGCAGAUUGUUCUUACAGUAAGAAACUCCAUCCCUCCAUAGUGCCUGGCUCUAUUCAUGCAUUUGUUCAUCUGUCCAACCAUCCUUCCAUUUAUUCAUUAUUCCAUUUAUUGAUUCAUUUUCCAAACAUUUAGCGAAUGUCUGGUGCUGUGCUAGGUGUUCUAAACACAAAGGUGAAUUUGAGACUGGUUCUAUCUACUCAAGGAACUCACUAUGUUGUGGAUAAGACAUAUGGGAUGGAAGUGGGGGUUGGUUUGCAAUGCAAUGUGAAAGCACUGAAAUACAGAGAUGCAAAGUGCUCUCGGUGCACAUUGGAAUGUCAUUUAUCCUGCUGGGGA
ensembl:lncRNA